rnacentral:rRNA from 1 species
GCGCGAAACCUCCGCAAUGCGAGCAAUCGCGACGGGGGGACCCCAAGUGCCACUCUUAACGGGGUGGCUUUUCUGAAGUGUAAAAAGCUUUAGGAAUAAGGGCUGGGCAAGACCGGUGC